rnacentral:tRNA from 1 species
ACACUGGUGGCUCAGAGGUAGAAUUCUCGCCUUCCAAGAGAUAGACCCAGGUUCAAUUCCUGACCUGUGCA